rnacentral:rRNA from 1 species
UACGUAGGGUGCAAGCGUUGUCCGGAAUUAUUGGGCGUAAAGAGCUCGUAGGCGGUUCGUCGCGUCGGCUGUGAAAUCCCGAGGCUCAACCUCGGGUCUGCAGUCGAUACGGGCGGACUGGAGUUCGGCAGGGGAGACUGGAAUUCCUGGUGUAGCGGUGAAAUGCGCAGAUAUCAGGAGGAACACCGGUGGCGAAGGUGGGUCUCUGGGCCGAUACUGACGCUGAGGAGCGAAAGCGUGGGGAGCGAACAGG